CGCGCCCCUAACGUUGCUUUAAAAAAUUUACAAUUAAAUUGUCCUAAUCAUAAAAUUGAUAAGAGAUUCCCUUUCAUUCCCCCUCUAGUCAUGCAUAUCAUAAAAGAAAACGCUUAAAGAAAAUAAGAAUAAUAAAAAAGACAGCUCAUUAGAAACUAAUCACAAUCAAAAGAUAAUAGUUUCCAACUGCGUAAGCAACACGAGAGAGAGUGAAUAUACAGCUACGAAGAAAGCUGUUCUCCUGAACUUCUUGUUGAGUUUAUAAUGCUACGGGCAGCAUCCAAACUCAGCUCUUCGUAUACUAGUCGCCUGUGAACUUGUUGAAAAGCAUUACAAAAUUUCUUUGCCUCUGCUGCACCCAUCUUCUUCUCAGCUGCCAACUUCAGCUUCUCCCAG
rnacentral:misc_RNA from 1 species